CGAGCGCGCUGGACGGCCGCGGGUCCGAGGAAUCGGACCUGAGGAAAGUCCGGGCUCCAUCGGGCAAGGGUGCCAGCUAACGGCUGGUCGGGGAAACUCGAAGGAAAGUGCCACAGAAACAAACCGCCGCGCCGUCGGGUGCGGUAAGGGUGAAAUGGUGCGGUAAGAGCGCACCGGCGGACGUCGAAAGACGCCGGCCGGGUAAACCCCACCCGGAGCAAGACAGUUGAGAUCGCCGCGCGCUGCGCGGUGCAGGCGGCCCGCCUGAUCUCACAGCACGUCGCACGAGGCGUCUGGUGACAGACGCCCAUAGAGAGAUGGUCGUCGCCGCCACGGGCGGUACAGAACCCGGCUUACAGGCGCGCCUCGGCAC
rnacentral:RNase_P_RNA from 1 species